UUUGUUGUUUUUAGCUUUCAAGUAUUGGAAAGAAAUAGAUGUUACAAAGUCGAUUUUUGAAACAUGUUUCUCUUUAACGUUAUUAUGUAAAACAAGGCUUUGUGUCCUGCUAACCAUCUUGACUUGCCUAUAUAACUACUCCCGCCAAUAGACCGUCACGUACCUAUCUUUGGGUGUUGGAUAUACUGUAGUAAACAAUACAUGCCAACACUCCCGUUUUGGCCAGGAAAUUCCUGUUUUGGUAAACUGAUGCCUGGUCAAUUUUUUUUCUCACGUUUUUUCACAUGGUCUCCCAGUUUACGAAGAAAAUUGCACACUAAGGCAAAAAAAAAUUCUUGUGUUGGGAAAUCCAAGAAAUGGGUGGGUCGGUAGGAAAACGUUUUCUUUUUUUUUGUAUCCAAUCAUGCCUAAAAAUACAAAUUACACAAAAAUACAAAAUGGACCAUUUUUAAUAUCUACAGUAUAUUUAAGAGCUAAACUGUUGCAUCGUCUGUCGUCCAACAAGGUAGACUAUUUCAGCUUUUUUAGCGCAUUAAAAAAAAAACAAAAGAAAAAAAAAACCAUAAUGCCGAACUCAAUUUUUUACUUUUUGGGUCGGUCGGUCGGGCAUGGCCAACAAAAUAUUUUUCUUAUUUGGCCUGAUGUUUACCAUGGUAUACCCAUGUUAUGUCACGUGACUGGUUGUGUAAACAAACAUCGCUGAAUCGGUUUGUUGCUACUGCUUCGAUUAUUAUGUUACAUUUUGUAUAAUUUAGUAAAUGAUUUAUAAUUAUAAAGGAUGAUGAGUUUUCUAUGAAAAAUAUUAUUAGAAAUCUAGUACAUACAGUUUUUAUUCAAGGUGGUGUUUUUAUAGAAAAAUGUCCUAGGACAUAUUUUCAUUUACCAGUAUUCAGCAAUUUUUUUUUUCUUUUCAGAAAACUAAAAAUGGAAAGAGCGAGUCGAGCUUUUCAAAUUUUACAACUUUCCAGAAAAAACUUUAGAUAUAAACAAGUGAAGAAAAGUCAUGUCUCUCCUAUGCAAACAGAUGAUGAAAUUGUACCAGAUUCUGUUGACAGUGAUCUCUCUGCUAAAAUACCAGCACUUCACAAAAAAGAAAAAAUGAAAAAAAAAAUUACAGGAAAGAACAACCCGAUGGCGAGAAGAUUGAUGAAGAAUAUGUAGACAUUGAUACCUUUGCUAGAUCACCCCCAGAUAGUGAAAAUGUUGACCAAGCACUAGUCAAUGAUUCUAUACAACCACCAGAUAGUAAGAAAAUUGAUCUAGAAUCUGUUGUUUCCGACACUGAAAGCUUUGUUAUAUCACCACCAGAUGGUGAGAAGAUUGCCAAGAAUCAGUUGUUUCAGACAUUGAUACCUUUGCUAGAUCACCACCAGAUAGUAAGAAGAUUGAUCAAGAAUCUGUUGUUUCCGACACUGAAAGCUUUGUUAUAUCACCACCAGUUUUAAAUGAUGUACAGUAAUUUUAGC